UACGUAGGAGGCGAGCGUUGUCCGGAAUUACUGGGCGUAAAGAGCGCGUAGGUGGCGCGAUACGACCGGUGUGAAAUCCUCCGGCUCAACUGGAGGGGGUCACUGGUAACGGUCGUGCUUAUGAGUGCAGGAGAGGGACGUGGAACUCCGGGAGUAGCGGUGAAAUGCGUAGAGACCCGGAGGAACACCAGUGGCGAAGGCGGCGAGCUGGUCCGUAUCUGACGCUGAGGCGCGACAGCGUGGGGAGCAAACAGG
rnacentral:rRNA from 1 species